CAGCCGCCGCGGUAAUACGUAGGUCCCGAGCGUUGUCCGGAUUUAUUGGGCGUAAAGCGAGCGCAGGCGGUUAGAUAAGUCUGAAGUUAAAGGCUGUGGCUUAACCAUAGUACGCUUUGGAAACUGUUUAACUUGAGUGCAAGAGGGGAGAGUGGAAUUCCAUGUGUAGCGGUGAAAUGCGUAGAUAUAUGGAGGAACACCGGUGGCGAAAGCGGCUCUCUGGCUUGUAACUGACGCUGAGGCUCGAAAGCGUGGGGAGCAAACAGGAUUAGAUACCCCCGUAGUCCCUGUCUCUUAUACC
rnacentral:rRNA from 1 species